CAAUACUAGAAUUUUGCAUCCAUGAAGAAGGCUCUGUGUACCGCUUCAAGAAGCAAGAGGAGGAAGAUGGGGGGAAAGAAGAGAGGGGAAGAAGACAAGACAAAGGGAAGAAAAGAGAUGGAUUUUAAAACGAAAGAAAGAAAAGAAAGGAUGCUGAUCAUGCAAAACUUUGGUGAAAAAUACCAGAUACACACCUUCAGCAAAAACUGGGCACCAGUGUAAAGAUAAGAGCUCUCCUUAACCAAGGAGAAGGUGAAGGACUUGAUGUCCUUCUUCAGGUUUGGUCACUGUUCCUACAG
rnacentral:lncRNA from 1 species